UACGUAGGGUGCAAGCGUUGUCCGGAAUUAUUGGGCGUAAAGAACUCGUAGGCGGUUUGUCGCGUCUGCUGUGAAAACUCGGGGCUUAACCCUGGGCCUGCAGUGGGUACGGGCAGACUAGAGUGCGGUAGGGGAGACUGGAAUUCCUGGUGUAGCGGUGAAAUGCGCAGAUAUCAGGAGGAACACCGGUGGCGAAGGCGGGUCUCUGGGCCGUAACUGACGCUGAGGAGCGAAAGCGUGGGGAGCGAACAGG
rnacentral:rRNA from 1 species